rnacentral:ncRNA from 1 species
UGAAUCCAUGGGCAGGCAAGAGACAACCUGGUGAACUGAAACAUCUUAGUAUCUAGAGGAAUAGAAAGCAAAAGCGAUUCCCAUAGUAGUGGCGAGUGAAAUGGGAGCAGCCUAAACCGUGAAAAUGGGGUUGUGGGAGAGCACAAUAUAAGCUCUGUGCUGCUAGGCGAAGAGGUUGAGUCCUGCACCCUAGAUGGUGAGAUCCCAGUAGCCAAAAGCAUAAUUGGGUUACGCUCUAACCCGAGUAGCAUGGGGCACGUGGAAUCCCAUGUGAAUCAGCAAGGACCACCUUGUAAAGCUAAAUACUCCUGGGUGACCGAUAACGAAGUAGUACCGUGAGGGAAAGGUGAAAAGAAACGCCAUAGGGGAGUGAAAUAGAACAUGAAACCGUAAGCUCCCAAGCAGUGGGAGGAAAAUGAUAUCUCUGACCGCAUGCCUGUUGAAGAAUGAGCCGGUGACUUAUAGGCAGUGGCUUGGUUAAGCGAACCCACCAGAGCCAUAGCGAGAGCGAGUCUUCAUGGGGCAAUUGCCACUGCUUAUGGACUUGAACCUGGGUGAUCUAUCCAUGACCAGUAUGAAGCUUGGGUGAAACUAAGUGGAGGUC